rnacentral:rRNA from 1 species
AGGGACGAAAGUCGGGCAAAGUGAUCCUACGGUACCGCAUGGAAGGGCCGUGGCUUAUCGGAUAAAAGCUACCCCGGGGAUAACAGGCUGAUCUUGCCCAAGAGUUCACAUCGACGGCAAGGUUUGGCACCUCGAUGUCGGCUCGUCGCAUCCUGGGGCUGAAUAAGGUCCCAAGGGUCGGGCUGUUCGCCCGUUAAAGCGGCACGCGAGCUGGGUUCAGACCGUCGUGAGACAGGUCGGUCUCUAUCCGUCGUGGGCGUAGCAGAGUUGAGGGGGGCUCUCUCUAGUACGAGAGGACCGAGAGGGACAGACCUCUGGUGUUCCAGUUGUCGUGCCAACGGCAACGCUGGGUAGCUAUGUCUGGAAGGGAUAAGCGCUGAAAGCAUCUAAGCGCGAAGCCCACCUCAAGAUGAGCUCUGCCACCGGGUUAACCGGGUAAGGCCGGAGGCAGACUACCUCCUAGAUAGGCGGCAGGUGUAAGCCGGGCAACCGGUUCAGCUGAGCCGUACUAAUGGCCGAGGGCUCGACCUACA